rnacentral:rRNA from 1 species
UGUCGUCAGCUCGUGCUGUGAAGUGUGGGUUAAGUCCCGCAACGAGCGCAACCCUAUCAUCUGUUGCCAGCAUUUAAGGUGGGGACGUCAGAUGAGACUGCCGGUGACAAACCGGAGGAAGGUGGGGACGACGUCAAGUCAUCAUGGCCCUUAUGUCCUGGGCUACACACGUGCUACAAUGGCCGGUACAGAGUGAAGCGAAACCGCGAGGUGAAGCAAAACGCAGAAAGCCGGUCUCAGUACGGAUUGGAGUCUGAAACUCGACUUCAUGAAGUUGGAAUCGCUAGUAAUCGCGCAUCAGCAUGGCGCGGUGAAUACGUUCCCGGGCCUU